ACGCCCGGUCCCAUUCCGAACCCGGAAGCUAAGCCCUUCAGCGCCGAUGGUACUGCACUCGACAGGGUGUGGGAGAGUAGGACACCGCCGAAC
rnacentral:rRNA from 4 species